GCAGUUGAGUGUCCAACAGCCAGGAUGAAGGUGCCUGCUCUGCUCUCUGCAGCCCUGCUGCUGCUGCUGCUUCCUGGGUCUCUGACUGAAAGUUUUUUGUCAUCUAUAAUUCAGAAAAUGAACCAGUUCCCAUUGAUGUGGUGGUGGUGAACAGCUUACUAGACACUCCUCCUGUGACCUUCAGCACUCAUGUGGUUAAAAGAGGGAUUCUACUGGGUGCACUGAAGAGACUCAUGGACUCCAAUGCAAACUUUAAGUUCACCUACACAGAGAAUCCAAACUAUGGCCCAUACCUGGAAAGCGUGAACGGUUUGGCUGGAAAUGAUAAAGACCACACGUACUGGGAGCUGUUGGUCAAUACUCAAGAUGGCAAAAUCAUAAGACCUAAUGUUGGUAUUGGAUGUUACAUUCCUAGCGCAAAUGAGAAAAUCAUUCUGAAUUUUACAAAGUGGUGAAGAUUCAGCAGCCUCCGUACAGAAAGAUGGGAUUGAAGCCAGUGUUGGAAUCGACUGUAUGACAAAGUACUUCAUUAGUGAGCAAUCAAACAACAUGCAUCUGUGUUUAAUUCUGAGUGAAUCCCUCUGUGUGUUGAUUGUAUUGGUUUUUGGGAGAUUAACAUAAGGCAAUAAACAACUGUCAACACUA